AUGCAGGGAGAUCCAGGCUACGGGUACGGUGGCUACGGCGCCGGCUACGGGUACGGCUAUGGCGGUGGCUACGGCGCCGGCUAUGACAUGGCCGGGUACGGCAACGGAGCCGGAGGAGCGUACUACACCAACGACCGGUACCCCGCGGCGGCGCCGCCUGCCUAUGAGGACCCGCUCGCCGGUCGGAGGCAGCACGACUUCCCGGCUCCGCUCACCGGGCUCGAGUUCCAGCCGUCGGAUACCUGCCCCAAGAACUACGUCAUCUUUGAUCAGACCUAUGACCGGAGCAGGGUGAUGUACCACCCGUCGCUGGCCAACAACUUCGGCUCCUCCGGGGGCUACGACCAGCAGCACUGCAACAACGGCGGCUACGAUCAGAACUACGUCGGCAAGAGCACCUACUACGGCGGCGACCAGGACGGCGGCGAGUGCUCAAUCCGGCAGAAGGAGGACACCGACGAGAUCGACGCGCUGAUGAGCUCCGGGGACGGCGACGAGGAGGACGACGUGCUGAGCACGGGUCGCACGCCCGCGUGCCGCGGAGGGGGCUCGCCGGACUCCACCUGCUCCUCCGGGUACGUGGUGAGCGUCAGCCCGACUGGCAACGCCACCGGCGCCGGCGGAGGCGGCGAGAGGAAGAAGGAACGGAUGAAGAAGAUGAUGAAGACGCUCAAGGGGAUCAUCCCCGGCGGCGACCGGAUGGACACGCCCGCCGUCCUGGACGAGGCCGUCAGGUACCUCAAGUCGCUCAAGGUGGAGGUGAAGAAGCUCGGGGUGCGCGGAUCAAGAAGCUAG
rnacentral:rRNA from 1 species